CACACGCACGCACGCGGGUACUUGAAUAACCAACGGCCAACAUCUUGCAUUGACUCCUCAUCCUCUCAGAAGCAGCACCAGACUGUAUCGCGGUGCUCUGACUGUAAACUUCACACCUGCAACAAGAGGAUUGUGGUGUUUAUACGUGUAAACGUGUAUAGACAAUACACUUACCACCGUUGUCUACCGCCAAGAGAUUCCGGUGAGCGGUCAAAGCCCGGAUUCUAUUUCCGCGAGACGACAAGGCGUGCAUAGGUUAUUAUCGCUCGUGGGCUUUUAGAACGAUAUAGGAAUGCUUGAUCUGACAUUUCAAUUUAUCACCGCACAAGAAAAAAGAGAUAUAGAAUUUCCAUUGCCAAUAACCUCGUUAUCAUCGCCUUCUUCCUCCAACACAAACAGUUGAUGCACGUGGUUCGUGUCUGUAGAUGCUCUGCUGUCUUGGCUCGUGCCAGGCAGGCUGCUUCACUCCCUUGGUGAGAAAAUGAGUGACUGUGGUGCUGAGAACACGUCACUGUGACUGUGGAGCUGAGAACACGUCACUGUGACUGUGGUGCUGAGAACACGUCACUGUGACUGUGGUGCUGAGAACACGUCACUGUGACUUUGGUGCUGAGAACACGUCACUGUGACUGUGGAGCUGAGAACACGUCACUGUGACUGUGGUACUGAGAACACGUCACUGUGACUGUGGAGCUGAGAACACGUCACUGUGACUGUGGUACUGAGAACACGUCACUGUGACUGUGGAGCUGAGAACACCUUCUGGAUAAAGGACCAUCCGAGACAUAUAUCUUUAAACACUUUACUUUUGUAACGGUACCAUAGCUUUUCGGAGCAAGCGAACUUAAAUCUGCAAAAUAAAUAAAAGGGGAUAAAAAAAAAAAAAACAGUUUUUUUGAAAAACAUCUACAAGGUUCUCGGCGAGCUCAAGGCGUAUAUCUGUCUAGACACUGACAGGUCUGCUCGUGGCGGUACCAGUCAAGCGGUAAGGUGCUCUGUUUCUCUUCACACAGGUGUAGGUGCGCGCUUAUCCAGGUGUCACCCAGUUCUAAACACACGCCAGGUAGAACUCACAGACUGCGCAGACAAACCGAGUUCAGCAGACUAUUCAGCAGCCGGGAAGAAAGUAAGACCGCUGUAACUACUGGACCAGUGGUGGGAGGAAGAGUAACAGUCGAUGUAAGUGUUGGGGGAGAACACAACAGUCAUGGCAUUCGGUGUCGCCACCAAAGAAGAGAGUUCCAGACAAAGUUCUUCGUGAAGGGAGGUACCUGCCUGAGUGUAGUUCUCACAAUCAGAUAUUUGUGGAUUGGAAACAGAGACUACAAGAUAGUGUAACGUGAAUGGUUCCAGAAGAGACGUCUGGAAGGUGGACGUGAGACCACCAGGUGGCGCGAGUGUGCAAAGCAGAUGAAUGAAGUGGGUGGGGACACUGCAGCGUGGACCCAACACUUGCCAGAAAGUCACCGCAGCAACAGUCAGUUCGAUUCUGAAGCUCGUGGAUCUCUGAAGUCGUCCUGACAACAAUGGUUUUUACUAUCUGUACAAAGCUUGGAGGUCGAAAAGCUCGUCACCAAUGCCACCACGGCCAACCCUCCCUAAACCAAGCAGCCAGGCUGAGCUCCCUUCAGACCGGUUACUACGAGACAGUUCGAGACCCAAAGCCAUUAGUGCUGCCCCCCAAGCAGCAAUUCCACCAUUUACAGACGACAUUUUCAUGGGAACCUUGCAGACCAUGAUAAUCUGCUCACCACUACAAACCAACGGUCGCGUCCAACUCUGACCUUUGGCCCUUUGAUGGAGACAAGUUCCAGCCAGACAAGCUGUACUGACCGUAACUCUCUUUGCCUGCUGCAAAAUGUGUCACUUCCUGUCUUUUGGUGGAGGUAAGUGGUAAAGAGGUCCAUGAGAUUACGCCCAGGGCAAGUUUCCGGAACCUGAGCUCGUCUUUCCUCUUAAAAAGAAGAAUUGCUUGCAGUCAAUUUAGUACCAUCGUAAGGGCCAUCUCGGUGGCUACACAAGGAGGUGGGGGUGGAACCGGUGGUCCCCUAAUAUUCCUAGUUUUGAAGACGGAAACUGCAAGGGUCGUUUGUGCUUUUGUGUGUAAAACUCCGGAUAAAGUCUAUAAUCCUUUGCCGUAUAUUCUCGUCCUCUAAUGACUAUAAACAAGAUUAUAGCUGAUUACAUAAGGAGCUUAAAGCACUAAUAAAUAAGAAAUAAUUUUAGGAGUAAUUGUUUCUUUAUGAGAACAGUAGAUGCAAAUGUGGGACAAAGAGAAAAUCAACAAAAAGACGAGCAUUUGUGUGGAUUAAUUUUUGCAGCGAAGCUCAGCUAAUGAUAAUGAUACUCUAGCGACUCAGUGCUGAUGAGCACUUGGGGGAAAUGAUCAGAGUAAGAAAGUGUGUGAUUUACACUUUAAAUGACUGAUUUACUGACUAACCAACUUGUGUUGCAAGGUUUUAGCAUAGCCAGCGCUUCAGCAAAGUCGCUUCCUGGUCAUGCGCCCUUACGCAAAGCGGAAGUGACGAAACUCAGGCAGGCGUCAACUCAUGUGACAGCCGCGCAAAUGCAUGUCUUCCGUUUGCGAAUACAACUUGUAAUUCGUCAUGAAGAAGACUCUCCUCGGGGUGUGGAGAGACAGGGUAAUUUGCUAAUCGUCAACAGAUUCAUUUUCCUCAUUAGUUCCCUUCUAGUUCUAAGGUUGCAGCAGACACAAGUCUCCCAGACUUCCCGAGAGACUGGCCUUGACACCAGAGUGACGUAACGGACCCAUGUCAGGCCCCUGCAGACGACAGCGACUCUCAAAAACUUGUGCUAAUGAAUGUUGUGGGACCAAGAUUAUGCAGCCGAGAGAAACCACACGCCUAGGACACGACCGAGGCAAGACUUUUCUGUUCCCUACUGAUUCGAUCAGUUUUGUGACCUCCAGGGUCAACAACGGUAAACAGGGUCUGUGCAUGGCGGGAUCCUCAAGGUGGGGGCAUCGAUAUAUGGA
rnacentral:misc_RNA from 1 species